rnacentral:rRNA from 1 species
UACGAAGGGGGCUAGCGUUGUUCGGAAUCACUGGGCGUAAAGGGCGCGUAGGCGGCUUUAUAAGUCGGUGGUGAAAGCGCCCGGCUCAACUGGGCGAGGUCCAUGGAAACUGGUCAGCUGGAGGACGGUAGAGGCGAGUGGAAUUCCCGGUGUAGUGGUGAAAUGCGUAGAGAUCGGGAGGAACACCUGUGGCGAAGGCGGCUCGCUGGGCCGGUCCUGACGCUGAAACGCGAAGGCGUGGGGAGCGAACGGG